ACAAUUGACUCUUUCCACACUCUGGUAUUUAAACAGCCUUGCUUUUAACCAGUUGGGUCUUUUGUUUUUGCCUUUUAACUAAGCCACUCGUUCCAAAAACACCCUGAGUGGCUUUUGCCUUAAGCCUUUCCCCGUUUUUAUUAAGCAAUAGACUCCUAUCCUCUAAAAAACUCUGGUUUUAAAGCAGCCUGGCUUUUAACCAGUUGGAGUAUUGUCUUUUUUUGGUUUUUGGACUAAAAAGCUAUCGGUUUUAAACAGAGCUUAGAACAUCAAACAAUAGACUCCUAUCUUCUAAAAACUCUGGUUUUAAAGCAGCCUGGCUUUUUACCAGUUGGAGUAUUGUCUUUUUGAUUUUCUUGCUUUUUGAUUCUUUGUUUUUUGGACUAAAAAGCUACUAGUUUUCAACAAAGCUUAUAGCACUAAACAUCCUGAGGGACUUCUGCCUAAGCCUCUCCCCCUAUUUUUUUAAACAACACUCCUAUCUUUUAAACUCUGGUUUUAAGCGGCCUUGCUUUUACCAGUAGGAGUUUUGUAUCUGACAAAGACUCCUAUCUUCUAAAAACUCUGGUUUUAAAGCAGCCUGGCUUUUUACCAGUUGGAGUAUUGUCUUUUUGAUUUUCUUGCUUUUUGAUUCUUUGUUUUUUGGACUAAAAAGCUACUAAUUUUCAACAAAGCUUAUAGCACUAAACAUCCUGAGGGACUUCUGCCUAAGCCUCUCCCCCUAUUUUUUUAAACAACACUCCUAUCUUUUAAACUCUGGUUUUAAGCGGCCUUGCUUUUACCAGUAGGAGUUUUGUAUCUGAUAUUGCUUUUAAUUUAUUUUUUUCUUGUGAUCCUCCUCCCGGCUGGGACGAGGUUAUCAGAGACUUAUUUCCUAAAAAUCCUUUUUUGGAAAACUUAUUAAUUAAUUAUUUUUCUGGAGACCUCCCCCCCGCUCUUGGUUAUACUGAGACGUUUUUUUUGGAGUUCCCUUCUUUUACUAGGAUACACCUGGAACUCAUCCUCAUCCUCCUGGACCACUGCCCAACACCAACCCAGCUCCAACUUGGGAGGCCCAGCCAACUACUGGACCAAGGAGACCUACACUACCAGGGAUACCCACCAGGCAACAACCAAAGGCACCUGAACCCCAUUCUGCUGGACCACUGCCUUAACGUCACCCCAGCUCCAACUAGGAAGGCCGAGGAACAAGCCAUCAGCCAUUUACUGGACAAAGGUGACCUCCAACUACACUACCAGGGUUGGAGGGCUCCCUCUCCACCAUCCCGGAAUUAUCCGAUGAAGAGGAAUUCCCACCACUACCAGUCAUCAGUGUUGCUGGUCCCCGGACUGGCACAAUGGAACAGCGAGGAGCCCCGACAACCAUAACGGGAGGGUCACCUAACAUGAUGAGCGGGCAAUUAAAGGCUAAUAUUGCCACUCAAGCCGUAUCUGAGACCUCCCUACCACUUCUCCGCGGAAGUCCACCUCCCACUUGUGCCGUUCGGG